GCCCGUAUGGCGAAGUUGGUAUAUGCAGCGCACUUAAAAUGCGUCGGUCGAAAGAUCAUGCGGGUUCGAAUCCCGCUACGGGCACCA
rnacentral:tRNA from 1 species